rnacentral:lncRNA from 1 species
GCAGUAUCACGCGGUGGCGCCAUCUCGCCCUGCCGUGGAGGGCUGGGGGUUCUCUCCGGGAGGUGGCGCAGCCCCGUUGCUCUUUCAACGGAAGAAGGAGACAAGCUCAGAGCCACGAAGCCACCAGCCACAGUCAACAAUGUGCCGAAGGGACAAAGCAUAGAUUGGGACCCAGGUCUGUCUGUCCCCAAAGCCUGUACUCUUGGCCCCAGGGAAACACUGCUACCCUUCACACCAGCUACAAUUUUUGUUAAGUAAACCUUUUAUUGAAGUUAAAUAAAGAGAAGAGCACAAAUCAUUACAGCUCGACAAAAUUACACAAAGUGAACAUGCCCAUACAACCUGAAUCCAGAUCGCAAAACCAAACAGUAGAAGCCUCAUGUGCUCCCCUUUCCCCCAUCCCUUCUUCUCCCCCCUCCACUCCCCGCCCCGAGACGGAGUCUCACUCUGUUGCCCAGGCUAAUAUUUGUAUUUUUAGUAGAGACAGGGUUUCACCAUGUUGGCCAGGCCGGUCACAAACUCCUGACCUCAAGUGAUCUGCCUGCCUUGGCCUCCCAAAGUGCUGGGAUUAUAGGCGUGAGCCACCACAUCCGGCCUCCCGAUCCCUUCUAAAGGUUAUCAUUCAUCUGUUUUUUUCUUUUUUUUUUAAGAGCUAGAGUCUCUGUCGCCCAGGCUGGAGUGCAGUGGCACGAUCAUAGCUCACUAGAGUCUCCAACUGCUGGCCUCAAGCUAUCCUCUCUCCUCAGCCUCUGAAAGCACUGGGAUUACAGGCAUGACCCACCCCAUGUAGCCUUUAAAAAUAUAUCUUUUGAAAGAGAUUCUUGCUCUGUUGCCCAGGCUGGAGUGCAGUGGUGAGAUCACUACUCACUCCAGGUUCAACCUCCCAGACUCAAGCAAUCCUAUACCUCAGCUUCCCAAGCACCUGGAACUACAGGCGUGUGCCACCACGCCUUGCUAAUUUUAAAAUGUUUUUUGUAGAGAUAGGGUUUCGCUGUGUUGCCCAGGCUGGUCACGAACUCCUGGACUCAGAUGAUCCUCCCACUUCAGCCUUCCAAAGUGCUGGGAUUACAGACAUGAGCCACUGUGCCUGGCUGGACUCGCCCUGACUUGUAACAGCUGGGUUACUUUUGUUUGUUUUGAAUUCUCCUUCUCUCUAGACCAGUACUCUGUGUACUGUGUUUGGUUUCUUUUAGUUAAUGUUGUUUUUGUGAGAUUCAUGCAUACCGUGUGUAGAAAUAGUUCUUUCAUUUUCAUUCUGGAUGGUUUCCAUUUUAUGACUAUGCCCUAUACCUCAGACUGGAUAUUUUCCAGUUUAGGGGUGUUAUAGUGCUAUUGUUACUGGGGGUCCUUGUUCUUAGAGCUCCCAAGAUGGUGGUGGGCCGCUUCCAAGAUGGCAGUAAGUCUCUUGUUCUCUGACCUGGGGUUCUUGGCCUCACGGAUUCCAAGGAAUGGAAUCUUGGGCCAUGCGGUGAGUGUUAUAGCUCUAUUCAGCUCGAUUAGGAGGAACCCCGGGCACUUAGCCCGCGCAAGAACAAUGGUGAGCCUCUAGCCCAAUUGGGAGCGGCAAUGGGUGCCGCCUCGCUGGAUCAGAAGUGCAGUGGACACCCGGAUCCGGAGGGGUGGAAGUCAGCGGCAGGUCUGCCACAGCUGCCAUGGCAGCAGACAGCAGCGGUGGACAGUGAGCGAAAGCUCAGCUCAAGCCAUAACAAACACAGACCAGAAGAGUGUACAGUUGCAAGGUUUAAUAGAGUGAAAACAGAGCUCCCAUAAAAUGGGAGGAGACCCAAAGGGGAUUGCCUUGCGGGCUCCAGUGCUGGGUUAUAUCCCGCCGAUCAUUGUCCCUCUCUCUGUGCUCUCAGGCGUUAGAUGAUUGGCUAUUUCUUUACCUUCUGUUUUUGCCUAAUUCGCAUUUUAGUGAGCUCUCUUUACUACCUGAUUGGUUGGGUGUGACCUAAGUGGCAAGCCCCUUGUUUAAAGGUGGAUGCGGUCACCUUCCCAGUUGGCUUAGGGAUUCUUAGUCGGCCUAGGAAAUCCAGCUAGUCCUGUCUCUCACUAUGAAUAUUCUAGUACAUUUCUUUGGACAAACUUACGUAUUCAUUUCUUCUGAAAAUAGAUCCCCCUCCCAAAGAAAAACAAAAACAAAAACAAAAUAGACCCAAGUGUGGAAUUGCUGGUCGUAGGGCAGGUAUGUGUUUAGCUUUAGUAGACACUGUCAGACUGUAUUAAUUUACACUCCCACCAUUUGUAUGUAUACUCUUGAUAUUUUGUGUGUUUGGACAUUGUUUUCUAUUUGGUGGAUGGAUCAUGGGUUGUCACACGAGACACCACUUGCGCAUUCACUUUUGGCCAGGAAAAUUCCAAACCAUGAUCUCAUAACAGCCCUCAGAGGUAGGUUUGCUUUUCCUCAUUUUACAAAUGAAACUGAGGUGCAGACAGGGGAAAGCCACUUCCAUUAAGUUACAAAGAGAAUUGGUGGCUCCUGCUCAGUGGAGAUCACUGAGUAGGGAGGAUCACUCUGCUGGGAGAACCCAGAGAUUCAUUAGAUCUGGCUCCUGCCUUUCUUAAAGUCCUAGUGUCUGUGUUUCCACAAAAAAAAGGAAAACGACAAUGACAAUAAAUCUUUUUGUUUUCCUCUGCAUGAGCAACUCUUAAUUCUGUAAGUUUUUUUUUUUUUUUUGAGACAGAGCCUUGCUCUGGCGCCCAGGCUGGAGUGCAGUGGCACAGUCUCGGCUCACUGCAACUCUGCCUCCCAGGUUCAAGUGAUUCUCAUGCCUCAGCCUCUGGAGCAGCUGGGACUACAGGCGUGGGCCACCACACCUGGGUAAUUUUUUGUAUUUUUAGUAGAGACGGAGUUUCGCCAUGCUGGCCAGGCUAGUCUCAAAUGCCUAACCUCAAGUGAUCUACCCUCCCAAGCCUCGAAAAGUGAUGGGAUUAUAGGCGUGAGCCACCGUGCCUAACAUGGGCAAUUCUUAAUUCUGUAUCCCAGGUUUCUACCUUACACCCAAAAGGCAACCUUGAUUUUUACUUGAGACUUAGAAUCUAUUACUUAAAAUGGAAUCCAUCAUCUUGCCCCUGGCCUCCCAUCCUCCCUGUUUCCAGGCUUCAGACUGAAACUCAUCUGAGAGCUUUGCCUUUAUUCCCCUAAGCCCAAAUAAUUGCCAGGUUCUCUCUGGCCCCUUUGGUAAUGACAAAUCAGUGUAUCCCUUUGGAAUUUUUAUGGAUAAUAAUCAUAAAUAACCAUUUCCUGAACACUGACUAUUGUCAACUAAGACAAAAAUCAGGCCAAGUGCUCAUUCCUGCUCCUAUAAUCAUCUCAGCACUUUGGGAGGUGCAGGCAGGAGGGUUGCUUGAGCCCAGAAGCUCAAGACCACCCUGGGCAACAUAGUGAGACCAAAAAAUGUUUAUAAAAAUUAACCCAGCAUGGUCG